rnacentral:rRNA from 1 species
GACGAACGCUGGCGGCGUGCCUAAUACAUGCAAGUCGAACGCUGAAGGAGGAGCUUGCUCUUCUGGAUGAGUUGCGAACGGGUGAGUAACGCGUAGGUAACCUGCCUGGUAGCGGGGGAUAACUAUUGGAAACGAUAGCUAAUACCGCAUAAGAGUAGAUGUUGCAUGACAUUUACUUAAAAGGUGCAAUUGCAUCACUACCAGAUGGACCUGCGUUGUAUUAGCUAGUUGGUGGGGUAACGGCUUACCAAGGCGACGAUACAUAGCCGACCUGAGAGGGUGAUCGGCCACACUGGGACUGAGACACGGCCCAGACUCCUACGGGAGGCAGCAGUAGGGAAUCUUCGGCAAUGGACGGAAGUCUGACCGAGCAACGCCGCGUGAGUGAAGAAGGGUUUCGGAUCGUAAAGCUCUGUUGUAAGAGAAGAACGAGUGUGAGAGUGGAAAGUUCACACUGUGACGGUAUCUUACCAGAAAGGGACGGCUAACUACGUG